ACACCAGGCGCAGCUACAUUUAGAGAGAGUUUCGCUGGAACCGUAGGCCACAGCUGCCGCCGCCGCCGCCGCCUCCAUUGGAGAAUGCCCACUGAAUAGGAAUCGAUCCCUGUCUCCAUCAGUGGUUUGGCUGAAUUGAGUCUCGUUUGGGAGUAAGAAGAUUUACUCCGAUGGCGAAUAUGCCGGAGAAAUUGAACCAGUGUAAGCUUGAUGCUCGCCGUGAACAAUGCCUUUCGCAAGGAUCUUUUACCUGUUUGCUGUUGCUUUUCUGCUGAUCUACCAGUCACUUUUCCAUCUAUUUCACCACCUUAGCUGCAAUUUUCUUCGAUGGAGGUUGUAGGAGUUGAAAUUCUCUCUCUGACAGAACUAUUAGCCAUUUCUUGGACUGGAUUUGGCUGUUGAUGAAAUGACUCUGCAUCAUAUUGUAGGAUUGCAUUAAGUGCUUCUUGUACUAACUUUAUGGCUGCAGUCUGUUGCAGUCCAAGUUUCUCUGUCUUUGCAACUUG